AAAUUAAAAAAAGAGUACAAAGUUUUUCUUUUUAAAAUUUUAAUUUUUUUUUUUUUUUUUUUUUUUU
rnacentral:ribozyme from 1 species